UUUCUUUGGAGUAAAGGCAGAGCUACUGAUGAGCUGCUCAGUGUGGAGAUGAAGGUCAUACUGCAGACUGACUGAAGCAGUGUGUGGAGCAGCUGGCCUAUAGGGGGCAGUACACAGCAGGAACCAAGACUGAUGUCAGUGUUGCUUGACUGGUGUGGAGAACUGGAGUCCACCUGCUGGGAUGUGACCAGGCACUUCUGCUCAGCCUGAGUUUGAGGAUGAAAUUUAAACUGUCAAACAUUGAAUGUAAGAUCU